GCCUUCGUCGACCAACGGCAGAGUCAGCGGUCUCAAACACCGUCACGUGCGGGUUCGAAUCCCGCCGAAGGCA
rnacentral:tRNA from 1 species